GGAUUCCCCUAGUAACUGCGAGUGAAGCGGGAUGAGCUCAAAUUUAAAAUCUGGCGGUCGCAACGGCCGUCCGAGUUGUAAUCUGGAAGUGCUUUCCGCGCUGGACCGUGUACAAGUCUCUUGGAAAAGAGCGUCAUAGAGGGUGAGAAUCCCGUCUUUGACACGGACUGCCAGUGCUAUGUGAUGCGCUCUCGAUGAGUCGAGUUGUUUGGGAAUGCAGCUCAAAAGGGGUGGUAAAUUCCAUCUAAAGCUAAAUAUUGGCGAGAGACCGAUAGCGAACAAGUACCGUGAGGGAAAGAUGAAAAGGACUUUGAAAAGAGAGUUAAACAGUACGUGAAAUUGCUGAAAGGGAAACGGUUGAAGUCAGUCGCAUUGUUUGGAACUCAGCCUCGCUUUGAACGGCUUGGUGCACUUUUUGAACGAUGGGUCAGCAUCGAUUUUGACCUCGCUGGAAAAGGGUUUGGAGGCAAGUGGCACCUUUUGCGAGGUGUGUUAUAGCCCCGGAUCGUAUAGACGGCGGUUGGGAUCGAGGAACGCACCGCGCGCCGGAAGGNGGAGGGGUUCGCCCACUUUCGCGCUUAGGAUGCUGGCAUAAUGGCUUUAAACGACCCGUCUUGAAACACGGACCAAGGAGUCUAACGUGCCUGCGAGUGUUUGGGUGGAAAACCCGAGCGCGGAAUGAAAGUGAAAG
rnacentral:rRNA from 2 species